rnacentral:piRNA from 1 species
UUUUGAGUCAUACCUAGCAAGAAC